CAUUGUAUAGAGGCUGCAUCAUUUAAUUCAAAUCGGAGGGAGUACCAGUUUUUAAAAUAAAAUAAAAACUUUAAGGCAGAACCUGAGCAUGGUCGGUGUUUAUUCUCAUCUACUUAUUGUUUAUACAAACACACUGACAUGGCAUCCAAGCAACAAUUCUGGCACAUGGAAGAUUUGCAAAUAGCAGCACCACAUCUACAUUCAGGUAAAUAUGCACGCUCUUAAGUUUACAGCUGAAGCAAGGUGUCUCUCUAAGAUAAAAGAAAACCUUCAUGUACACAUUCACAAACCAGCCCAACUGAACAACUUCAACAGAAGAAAGCCUCUUCAGACAUUCUACUCCUUGGUCGGCGGUAUUGUCGUUUUAUUGUCAAGUGGGGUCGGCUCUAUAGUCGACGCAACACUCAUAUUCAGAGGUGAGAAGUCUUUCUAUUAUCCUGUUUACGGUCCUGUCAAAUAAAUUCAAGGCAUCCUCUUCUCCAUUAGGAAUUUGACACCGUUGCCCUGUCAAAAACCUCAGGACAACUAGCAUUCAUCUUCUCCUGCCAUAUCCUUGGUAGAAACCACCAGCGGCGUGGUGACGCCGAGCGCCUCCCCUGAUCCAACCAUCCCAAUUGCCACGCCCACCUGAUCUAAUACUGCUGCCGGUAUUGC
rnacentral:lncRNA from 1 species